UACGAAGGGGGCUAGCGUUGUUCGGAAUUACUGGGCGUAAAGCGCGCGCAGGCGGUUCUUCAAGUCAGUGGUGAAAGCCCGGAGCUCAACUCCGGAACUGCCAUUGAAACUGUGGAACUUGAGGAUGAGAGAGGUGAGUGGAGUUCCCAGUGUAGAGGUGAAAUUCGUAGAUAUUGGGAAGAACACCGGUGGCGAAGGCGGCUCACUGGCUCAUUUCUGACGCUCAGGCGCGACAGCGUGGGGGAUCAAACAGG
rnacentral:rRNA from 1 species